rnacentral:rRNA from 1 species
AUCCGGAGGGUGCAAGCGUUAAUCGGAAUUACUGGGCGUAAAGCGCGCGUAGGCGGCUUUGUAAGUCGGAUGUGAAAGCCCUGGGCUCAACCUGGGAAUUGCAUUCGAUACUGCAUGGCUUGAGUAUGGUAGAGGGUAGUGGAAUUCCUGGUGUAGCGGUGAAAUUCGUAGAUAUCGGGAGGAACACCAGUGGCGAAGGCGGCCCUCUGGACGAUGACUGACGCUGAGACGCGAAAGCGUGGGGAGCAAACAGGAUUAGAUACCCCGGUAGUCC